UAUGGCAUUAGAAUCCAGGGACAAGCCACUAGCUCAGACGGACAGAGACCCAGCUUUGUCCAAGUUUCCCUGCAGCCAAGUGGGUCGUGGUGGUCAACUUCCUGCCUCCUGGCCUUGGCUCUGUGGCGGGUCUCCGAGGGUAGCCCUGCACCGAAGGGCGUGUCCUUCCUCAGCAGCACGUGGACAGCUCGGGUCUUUGGGAAGGUGAUUGGUUCUGAAGGUACACGCCCCGCCCCCCCCGCCGUGGGCGUGGCCUUCUGCCCGGCAGUGGCGGCCAUGCUGGUAAGCAAUGGAUUCUGGCCCGUGAGCUCUGCCCGGAAGUCCCGUGCGGCCUUUGGAUACGAAACGGGUCGAGAAACAAGCCACCGGAGUGUGUCUGCCAUCCCUUCCACUGUCCUCUGUGCUUUCUAUGUGGAGCGAACACUGGAUGAGCAUCCGUUACUUGUGCAAUGAAAAAACUCUCUACAUCUGCAAGAUACUGUCAUGUGGAUGGGUGGUGAUGAGAUGGAGCCCAGCAGAAGAAGGAGACAGCUUCUGAAGAGGAGAGGCAUUGCAUCGAACUGUCUGCCCAGGGGACGGUGGUAUGGAGCACAGAGUCAUUUCACGGUGCUGCGGUCUCACAAUCAUGGGUGCCCACCCCUCCUGCUCUGUGCUUCCCGCAUGGCCCCCAUGAGCACCUGCCUCCAUGCCACAGCCACAUUGUGCUAAGGCAAAGUUGUAAGGGGCAACCACAAGUUCACGUGCAGGUGAGAUCUAGUGUCAGCUCGAGAAGAACUGCCCCUCCAUGUCUUUGGGUCUGGAGAUGUAAGGAACAUGUACACAAAGCAUGGGGAUCACAAAGAAGGAAGUAAUUUCCCUGCCUUCCUGGGUGGAUGAACCUUCUGGGGUCCACAGAUGUUUCCCCUGGUAGCCUCAGUGGGCCUAAGCGAACCCUCAGGGUGGAGGUUUAUAUGAGAAAAGGGACUUGAAGUGAGUGGGGAAGAGGCUGGGGUUCAUGGUGGUCUUGGGCUUCGUUACUAU